CUUGGGGGUGGGAGGGUCCCUCAGCUCAGAUUGCGAGAGGGUGCAGACCAGGCCAAGGGACCCCACUGGUGCACG
rnacentral:pre_miRNA from 1 species